rnacentral:rRNA from 1 species
AUUGAACGCUGGCGGCAGGCCUAACACAUGCAAGUCGAACGAGUGGCGGACGGGUGAGUAAUGUCUGGGAAACUGCCUGAUGGAGGGGGAUAACUACUGGAAACGGUAGCUAAUACCGCAUACCAUCGGAUGUGCCCAGAUGGGAUUAGCUAGUAGGUGGGGUAAAGGCUCACCUAGGCGACGAUCCCUAGCUGGUCUGAGAGGAUGACCAGGCAAACUGGAACCGGGAAACGGUCCAGACUCCUACGGGAGGCAGCAGUGGGGAAAUAUUGAACAGUGGCGCCAGCCCGAUGCCGCCAAGCCGGGGGUAUGGAGAAGGCCUUCCGGUUUUAAAGUACUUUCAGCGGGGAGGCGUUACCCGCAGAAGAAGCACCGGCUAACUCCGUGCCAGCAGCCGCGGUAAUAC